GAUCAUGGCUCAGGAUGAACGCUAGCGACAGGCUUAACACAUGCAAGUCGAGGGGCAGCACAGGUAGCAAUACCGGGUGGCGACCGGCGCACGGGUGAGUAACGCGUAUGCAACUUGCCUAUCAGAGGGGGGAUAACCCGGCGAAAGUCGGACUAAUACCGCAUGGAGCAGGGGCCCCGCAUGGGGAUAUUUGCUAAAGAUUUAUCGCUGAUAGAUAGGCAUGCGUUCCA
rnacentral:rRNA from 1 species